GACGAACGCUGGCGGCGUGCCUAAUACAUGCAAGUAGAACGCUGAAGGAGGAGCUUGCUUCUCUGGAUGAGUUGCGAACGGGUGAGUAACGCGUAGGUAACCUGCCUGGUAGCGGGGGAUAACUAUUGGAAACGAUAGCUAAUACCGCAUAAUAGUAGAUGUUGCAUGACAUUUGCUUAAAAGGUGCAAUUGCAUCACUACCAGAUGGACCUGCGUUGUAUUAGCUAGUUGGUGGGGUAACGGCUCACCAAGGCGACGAUACAUAGCCGACCUGCGAGGGUGAGCGGCCACACUGGGACGGAGACACGGCCCAGACUCCUACGGGAGGCAGCAGUAGGGAAUCUGCGGCAAUGGACGGAAGUCUGACCGAGCAACGCCGCGUGAGUGAAGAAGGUUUUCGGAUCGUAAAGCUCUGUUGUAAGAGAAGAACGAGUGUGAGAGUGGAAAGUUCACACUGUGACGGUAUCUGACCAGAAAGGGACGGCUAACUACGUG
rnacentral:rRNA from 1 species